rnacentral:rRNA from 1 species
UAGGGAAUCUUCGGCAAUGGACGAAAAGUCUGACCGAGCAACGCCGCGUGAGUGAAGAAGGUUUUCGGAUCGUAAAACUCUGUUGGUAGAGAAGAACGUUGGUGAGAGUGGAAAGCUCAUCAAGUGACGGUAACUACCCAGAAAGGGCGGCUAACUACGUGCCAC